rnacentral:tRNA from 1 species
GGUUGUAGCUCAGUGGUAGAGCGCUUGCCUCGCAAAAGUGAGGUCCUGGGUUUGAUCCUCAGCACCA